UACGUAGGCAGCGAGCGUUGUUCGGAAUUACUGGGCGUAAAGAGCGUGUAGGCGGCCUGAAAGGUCAGCUGUGAAAACUCGAGGCUCAACCUCGAGACGUCGGUUGAAACCAUCUGGCUAGAGUCCGGAAGAGGAGUGUGGAAUUCCCGGUGUAGCGGUGAAAUGCGCAGAUAUCGGGAAGAACACCCGUGGCGAAGGCGGCACUCUGGGACGGUACUGACGCUGAGACGCGAAAGCGUGGGGAGCGAACAGG
rnacentral:rRNA from 1 species